AAACUCGAGACAUCAGUGAAGCACACGGUGGGAAUGAUUUACAGCGUCAAACUUGGAUCCCCAAAGGAGUAUUACCACGAGGAACAUCGACCCACUCAUUUCCUAGAGUUCAGCAACAUGGAGGAGACUGAUAUCGCUGAGGGAGAUCGUGAGGACACCUUUGCUUGACCAUUAUGUUUCUACCAUGUUUUGUAACUUCCUUGCUAGACUUGUAAUGUCGUUAUGUGCGGGUGACUGAGUAUUACUGCAUUGUGUGUGUGGUAAGAUUGUAAUGUACUCAAGUUUAUGACUUUUUUUUGCCAGUAGGGCUAAAUCUUUUUAUGUACAUGCAAAUCGCUCAUGGUAAGUCUAGAAACUUAGUUUUUUUUUUUGAAACACUAGAAACUUCAGAGUUAGGAAGGUAACUAACUUUCUUGUAACAAAUGGGGAAAAGUUUUAAUAAUGACAGGUUAAGGAAAAAAAAAUGUUUUUAAUGUUCAUAAUCUUGUUGACCGGACGGGGGCGCUUCUGGGAUACCAAAGUUUAGUGCUUAUCCCUUAUAAUUUAUAACCAAAAGAAAACAACACAACCCUUUUGUCACCCACACACAUGCCAUGGCUUUUGUCCGACGAUGUAUAAGCAUUUUCCGUUUCUUUCAUGCAAAUUCAUAUAGUCAAAGCUUUUUGUUAUGUUUAUUAAAAUAACCUAACCAAACCUUUUUAAAAAAAUUAUUACAUAGUUGAUCGUAUAUGUCAAACAAACAAACAUGAAAACAAAAUUUCUAAGUUUUUAGUUUUAAUUUUCUUUAAUCUUUCUUAAUGAAGUUUAACUAGUUACUAUUAUAUUGUUUAUUAAAAACUUUCAUAUAUAUCAGCACCGUACUAGAGAUUUUUUCCUUUUUAUUUGCAACAAAUAUUAAUAUCGUUCCAAAAGAGGGUUUACAAGCAAUCGUCUCCAGCCGGCAUGACAUCACGUCGGAGAAACAUCCCUGAGGGCCAUAAUACAAUCCUUCAAUGCCAUUCACGAACAUGCACCGAAGAAUACUCAGAGACAAUCCCACAUGAUCUCAUAAUCGAGAUAGUUUCGAGAUUACCGACGAAAUCGGUGGCUAGAUGUCGUUGCGUAUCCAAGCUCUGGUCAUCCUUACUUGUCCAUCCACAUUUCACGGAAACCUACUUGACAAGAUCAUCUGCUAGCCCGAAGAUCUUAUUCGCCUGCGUAAAAGACAGCAAGGUAUUCUUCUUCACCUCACCUCAGCCUGAUGAUGAUGACAAGGCGUCGUCUGCCGCCACUUAUCAUAUGAACUUCCCCUUUGAUCAUGUUAUUGAUAUAUACAGUCCUAUGAGUGGUUUGGUCUGUAUCAGAGAUGAUCGGAUCUUAAAAGGUAGGAAAAGUGCAGCCAUGGUGUGGGAGAUAUGCAACCCUAGCACCGGACAGUCCUUUAUUUUACCCAAAAUGAAGUCAAGGAAGUGGACUGGUGCGAAGAGCUUUUUCGGUUAUGAUCCCACUGAAAAGCAGUUCAAAGUAUUGUCAAUGUUCAUUACUAAGAAUGGCAUCUCUAACGAGCAUCAAGUUCUGACACUAGAACCAACUGGGAAACUGUCUGUGAGAAUUAUUGAAUGUAGCAUACCACACUAUCCUCAAUCUCCUGGUAUUUGCAUUAAUGGUGUUUUGUACUACAAAGCUUCGCCUAACUGGUCUUCCGAAGUUGAUGGAAUCAUGUGCUUUGAUGUUAGGUCCGAGACGUUCAGAUUUGUUCAAGUCAUGGAACCUUUCAUUAGGGCAGUGCAUCCUCUAGCAACUCUGAUCAACUACAACGGUAAACUGGCUUCAGUUAUGUCGACACAGUCGUAUAACUAUAUUGAUGAAAAAAGUACAGGGUUUGUCAUGUAUGUUGUACAAGACAUUGAAAAACAGGAAUGGUCCAAGCAUAACUACGAAUUGACUCGUCUGCCGGAGUAUGGAGUUGCAAUGUUGUUCUUUGCUGGAGUGACUGUUGCAGGUGAGAUUGUGUUGUUGCCAAAGUACCCAUCAAGUCCUUUUUAUGUUUUUUUACUGCAGCCUCGAGAGUAGAUCUAUAAGAAGAGUUGAGAUCCAAGGAAUGGGAGGGUUCAAAGAAGUUUAUACGUUUGUAAACCAUGUGCAGGAUGUGAAACUUAUGCAAACGUUUUAAGUUUAUUAUUUAGGUUCUCACCCUCUGUGGAUAGAGCCACUGGUUUUGAUUUCUUAUAAAUCAAUUAUUGGAUUACUUGUUUUCUCUUGUCUCCAUCUUUUCUAGAUAACAUUUAUUCUCAUGUUCAGUGGUUCAUAUACUUUGGAGCAGUGUUUUUUUUUUUUCUUUCUUUUGAAACUCUUCUCUGCCCAUCUAUAUGGUACUUGGUGAUCCCUCUAGUUUACUUUCUCACUAUAGAACGGUCAAGACCACCCAACCAACAUGAUUACAAAUGGCACGACACAAAAUUAUUUCCCCUUGAGCAUCAUGGGUUGUAGCAAUAGACUGUUAAAGAUUCAGAGCGUAGAAAUCGUUUUGCUUCGAUGAUGAACAGAGUACAAGGUCUUGCUAAACCUACCGGUUCAGAACUAACAAACCAAAGCAGCUUUAACCACUUUAACGUAAACCCAUCAAGAGGCAAUAUAGCAGUAUACGUGCCAAUAGAUAAAACCACACAAAAAGAAGACAAGUGAAGAAAGUACUACUCUGAACACAAAUUCGUUUCCCCUUUAGUAUCAUUGAUUGUAACAAUAGACUUUCAAAGAUUCAGAGCGUAGAAAGUGUUUUGUUUCGAUGAUGAAAAUGUCUCUCUUCACAUAUCAAAUCUUACACAUUGAUUUUUCGUGCCUUCAGUGUCACUAAGCAUUGUGCAUUGAGACAUCAAGAAGUCGAUCAUCGAAGUUGAAGAAAAAUGUAACCAAAGCAUCUUAAAACCCGGGCCUUUUGUAUUUAUUUUGUAUUUAGAGAAAAAAAACAAUUUGUGAUUAGUAUUUCUCUUGCAUCGAGGAAGAGACUGUUAGAGCAUCCACAUUGCAAGGACCAAUUUUUGUGUCCUUACCUUAGUUUAUUAAUAUUGUUAAGUUAAGAUACAUAGUUAAGGACAAUAGCUAAAAUUAAGAUUAUUGGUAGGACCAUUUUAAGUCUUAGUUAAUUAUUUUUUUUUAAUAGGAAAUGAGAUAUAUUAAACAUAUAACAUUAAAAUAGAAACAUAAUUUAUUAAACAAAGUUGAAACACCAAAUUAACAAAAAAAAAGUCAUUAAAAAACAACUAAUUACAAAAAAUAAAAAACCCAUUAAUAAAACAUAAACAUUCAAAUAU